rnacentral:rRNA from 1 species
UGCCAGACUCCUACGGGAGGCAGCAGUGGGGAAUAUUGCACAAUGGGGGGAACCCUGAUGCAGCGACGCCGCGUGGGUGAAGGAGCACCUCGGUGCGUAAAGCCCUAUCGGCAGGGAAGAAAAGCGAACAGGUUCGCCUGGACGGUACCUGACUAAGAAGCCCCGGCUAACUACGUGCCAGCAGCCGCGGUAAUACGUAGGGGGCAAGCGUUAUCCGGAUUUACUGGGUGUAAAGGGAGCGCAGACGGCAGUGCAAGUCUGGAGUGAAAGCCCGGGGCCCAACCCCGGGACUGCUCUGGAAACUGUACGGCUGGAGUACGGGAGGGGCAGGCGGAAUUCCUAGUGUAGCGGUGAAAUGCGUAGAUAUUAGGAGGAACACCGGCGGCGAAGGCGGCCUGCUGGACCGAAACUGACGUUGAGGCUCGAAAGCGUGGGGAGCAAACAGGAUUAGAUACCCCCGUA